rnacentral:rRNA from 1 species
CCUGGGGGGGGCCCGCGGUGAGGAUUCUUCCACAAAGGGAAGAAAUUUUGGAGGGAACAACCCCCGCUUGAAGGAGAGAGGGUUUCGGUUUGAAAAACUUUGUUUUUAAAGAAGAACAUUUCUGAGGGUAACUGUUCAGGUAUUGACGGUAUUUAACCAGAAAGCCACGGCUAACUACGUGCCAGCAGCCGCGGUAAUACGUAGGUGGCAAGCGUUGUCCGGAUUUAUUGGGCGUAAAGCGAGCGCAGGCGGUUUUUUAAGUCUGAUGUGAAAGCCUUCGGCUCAACCGAAGAAGUGCAUCGGAAACUGGGAAACUUGAGUGCAGAAGAGGACAGUGGAACUCCAUGUGUAGCGGUGAAAUGCGUAGAUAUAUGGAAGAACACCAGUGGCGAAGGCGGCUGUCUGGUCUGUAACUGACGCUGAGGCUCGAAAGUAUGGGUAGCAAACAGGAUUAGAUACCCUGGUAGUCCAUACCGUAAACGAUGAAUGCUAAGUGUUGGAGGGUUUCCGCCCUUCAGUGCUGCAGCUAACGCAUUAAGCAUUCCGCCUGGGGAGUACGGCCGCAAGGCUGAAACUCAAAGGAAUUGACGGGGGCCCGCACAAGCGGUGGAGCAUGUGGUUUAAUUCGAAGCUACGCGAAGAACCUUACCAGGUCUUGACAUACUAUGCAAAUCUAAGAGAUUAGACGUUCCCUUCGGGGACAUGGAUACAGGUGGUGCAUGGUUGUCGUCAGCUCGUGUCGUGAGAUGUUGGGUUAAGUCCCGCAACGAGCGCAACCCUUAUUAUCAGUUGCCAGCAUUAAGUUGGGCACUCUGGUGAGACUGCCGGUGACAAACCGGAGGAAGGUGGGGAUGACGUCAAAUCAUCAUGCCCCUUAUGACCUGGGCUACACACGUGCUACAAUGGAUGGUACAACGAGUUGCGAACUCGCGAGAGUAAGCUAAUCUCUUAAAGCCAUUCUCAGUUCGGAUUGUAGGCUGCAACUCGCCUACAUGAAGUCGGAAUCGCUAGUAAUCGCGGAUCAGCAUGCCGCGGUGAAUACGUUCCCGGGCCUUGUACACACCGCCCGUCACACCAUGAGAGUUUGUAACACCCAAAGUCGGUGGGGUAACCUUUAGGAACCAGCCGCCUAAGGUGGACAGAGAUUGGA